UACGGGGGGGGCAAGCGUUGUUCGGAAUUACUGGGCGUAAAGGGCUCGUAGGUGGCCAACUAAGUCAGACGUGAAAUCCCUCGGCUUAACCGGGGAACUGCGUCUGAUACUGGAUGGCUUGAGUCGGGAGAGGGAUGCGGAAUUCCAGGUGUAGCGGUGAAAAUGCGUAGAUAUCUGGAGGAACACCGGUGGCGAAGGCGGCAUCCUGGACCGACACUGACGCUGAGGAGCGAAAGCCAGGGAGCAAACGGGG
rnacentral:rRNA from 1 species